CAGUAGCCGCGGAAAUACAGAGGGUGCAAGCGUUAAUCGGAAUUACUGGGCGUAAAGCGCGCGUAGGUGGUUUGUUAAGUUGGAUGUGAAAUCCCCGGGCUCAACCUGGGAACUGCAUCCAAAACUGGCAAGCUAGAGUAUGGUAGAGGGUGGUGGAAUUUCCUGUGUAGCGGUGAAAUGCGUAGAUAUAGGAAGGAACACCAGUGGCGAAGGCGACCACCUGGACUGAUACUGACACUGAGGUGCGAAAGCGUGGGGAGCAAACAGGAUUAGAUACCCCAGUAGUCCCUGUCUCUUAUAA
rnacentral:rRNA from 1 species